AUUGAACGCUGGCGGCAGGCCUAACACAUGCAAGUCGAGCGGAUGAAGGGAGCUUGCUCCUGGAUUCAGCGGCGGACGGGUGAGUAAUGCCUAGGAAUCUGCCUGGUAGUGGGGGAUAACGUCCGGAAACGGGCGCUAAUACCGCAUACGUCCUGAGGGAGAAAGUGGGGGAUCUUCGGACCUCACGCUAUCAGAUGAGCCUAGGUCGGAUUAGCUAGUUGGUGGGGUAAAGGCCUACCAAGGCGACGAUCCGUAACUGGUCUGAGAGGAUGAUCAGUCACACUGGAACUGAGACACGGUCCAGACUCCUACGGGAGGCUGCAGUGGGGAAUAUUGGACAAUGGGCGAAAGCCUGAUCCAGCCAUGCCGCGUGUGUGAAGAAGUUCUUCGGAUUGUAAAGCACUUUAAGUUGGGAGGAAGGGCAGUAAGUUAAUACCUUGCUGUUUUGACGUUACCAACAGAAUAAGCACCGGCUAACUUCGUG
rnacentral:rRNA from 1 species